UUCACAUCUCUCUAAUUCCUUGUUGGUUUUUGGGGUUUUUUUUAACUUUCCCAAAAGUUUGCUAUUAUUUAAAGGCUGCCAAGUGCCUGGGGAGACCUGAGGAGUUCAGGUUGUGAGAGUAGCAUGGACUUGUUAAUCUCAGCCUGAUCUUGUCAGUAACAGCAGAGCAGAGGGAGAGGGAGAGCAACUCCGGCUGGGGCAGCGCUCCCGAGGGGAGAAGACAUUUUGAAAACAAUCAGAAAUAAUUUUUAUUUGAGGCUGCUCCUUGAAGUCUAGCCGCGGAGUACGUGGUGACGUUUUCCGAACUUCCAGUCUCAUGUCUCUCAUGGACAAACACAAAGUGAAGCGGCAACGUCUAGAUCGUAUAUUUGAAGAAAAGAGGCGAAGUACUUCCCCAAUGGAAAUAAUUGUUUGUCCAAAUUGGAAGCAAUGCAGUGCGAUAGAAUUGCGGUGUAAAGUUUUGUCUUACAUUUCUGAUAUCACAAGCCCUUCGUAA
rnacentral:lncRNA from 1 species